rnacentral:rRNA from 1 species
AUUGAACGCUGGCGGAAUGCCUUACACAUGCAAGUCGAACGGCAGCACGGGAGCAAUCCUGGUGGCGAGUGGCGAACGGGUGAGUAAUACAUCGGAACGUGCCCAAUCGUGGGGGAUAACGUAGCGAAAGCUACGCUAAUACCGCAUACGAUCUACGGAUGAAAGCAGGGGACUCGCAAGAGCCUUGCGCGAAUGGAGCGGCCGAUGGCAGAUAGGUAGU